GCUGUACUUUUUAUGGUCAUACUUUUUAUGGUUUCAUAGUAUUCUAUGGUGUAUAUGGACCAGUUUCUUGAUCCAAUCUACCAUUGCUGGGUUGAUUCCCUGUCUUUGCUAUUGUGAACAGCACAGUGAUGCACAUUUCAUGCAUGUGUCCUUUGGUAGAAUUACAUCUGCAAAGACCCUUAUUCCAAACAAAUAUUCCAAAGAUCCUUUAUUCCAAAUACAGCCACAUUCUGAGGUUUGAGGUAGACAUCUUUUGGGAGACACUAUUUCGACCCACUGCAUAUGCAGAUAUGUAAAGGCUCAAAACUAAAAACAGCCACUUUCUAUAAAAGAAGAGUUUGAAAGCAGAAUUCCUGGCUUGCUUGCUCUUAAUCUCUCUCCAGCCAUACCCUGGGGACAGUUACUAAGUUUCCCUGGAGUGACUGUCUCCACAGGAAACUUAAGACCAGCACUUAUUCACCCUCCUAACAAACAACAGAAUGAAGAGAAUGAGAGUACAUUGAAAAGGAAGGAAGUUGGUAUAAUAUUUCUAGGCCAUUUUUUCAAUAUUCAGAGGUUUUUCAAGGUUGUGAGGGGAGGAAGGGAUAAUAUGAUACAGGAGGAUUGCUUUUCCUUUAAGCUGUGGUGCACCUGAUUCUCUCAUCUCAUACUGUUGCAUUUUACAAGAGAUAAUCUCCUUGCAAAUAAGGUGACACUUGAGCAGAUUGCAGUGGAAUCUCCCCGGGGGCAUUCAGAGGGCUGAAGCCUUGCCAAGCUGAAGGAAGAUGCGGGAGAAGCCAGCUGACCCUUGCUCUUAUCUGAUGGGAUUGUAACUGGCAUCAACAUUUUCUAGCUUUUCAUUAAGAAGCUAUGUUUUAAGACAAUAGCAGGAACGAAAGAACCUAUUCUUUCUGUGCCAGCAUCCGUCCAGCUUAGAACAAAAUGUUAUUCAUGGCCAGGCUCCACCUUGCUGAGAAAGCCUGGUAUUUGUCUUUGCAGACAGUCCUUUUGACAUCCUUAGAAGGCCUCGUGGAGACCCCAGAGAGCUGUAACUACCUUAGGAGGAAGGUGGCACUUGGACUUGAUGGGGGGGGUGCUGCCCACCCGUCAGCGGGCCUCUCCCAGUCUUGGUCUGCCCUUCCCAGAUUCAACAAAAUAAUCUGCCUAGAGUGUUUAGCCCAGCACCUGGCACUUGGAGGCCUGCAAAGAAUGUUCAUGGCUGCUGCCAUCAGACCACACUGUUCUUAGCAUCUGGACUCAGAUACCCGGGCGUCUGAAUCUGGCUAGCUCUGGGGCUAGAAGCUGCUGAGGCUCUGCCCUGCCUCCAGCCCCUUCGGGAUAUUCUGGGAGGGCCUGCGGCUAACAUAUGCUAGAAGCAAAGCAGGAACAGCCUCUGCUCUGAAGGGGAGGCUUCCCAAGCCAACUUUUUUUCUUUUUAUCUGAUGGGAAGGGCUGAGUUAAGAGCCAGCAGCAGGGGACAGCACAAAUAAAUACAGAAAAACCUCUCCAGGAGCUGCGAUUGUGCUCAGCUCAAUGGUAAGCCCUGGAGAGCAGCUUAUCCAAUGGAGAUUGGAAAGUAAAAUAAAUGUGGUCCUACUACCCACCCUUCCGCAGACCCGACUCGCUAAGGCCUAUCCCUGAGCUCUGCCGGAGUCGAAGGGACGUGUGUGUUCAGAGUCCUGGUCUCCUGUGGGGAAGAAGGUGCAGAAGCGGGUUCUUAGGGCUGAGAUUCCCUGAAGCUUUGGGUGCUAUUCUCCCACCCACCCUGGCUUUCUAAGACGCUGCCAGCUCCAAGUCCCCGUCCUUCCCAGGGCUUUCCCGCCCACAGUGGGCCACCUCCAGCAGGGUGGGGCUGACAGAAACACCUAAGCAAUGAGCUGGGGGGAGAGUAGCCUUCUUCCAGCAAUGGGCAAGAGGGGCUGGGGAGGACUGGUGGCUUUCUCCCGCUGAGGAAAUAUCCCCCAAGACUCUCAGGACCAGCAGCUCAGCUUUUACAGCCUUUGGUUCCUUUGAAGUGAGUCAUACCAUUGAAAAGAUCUUUCUGGAACAAACACUACCUUUCAUGGGAACAAGUCUUAGCUCUUCCGCAGGGAGUGUUUCUAAGCAUCCCUGGAGGAGGCUACAACAAUCCUCCUCACCCAGGAAACCCUCAGAGCAGCUAAGCCCCAACCUGGCACCUUUGGAUGCUUCAUUUGAGGAGUCUGCCAUGCUGGAUGGCCACAGUGCAUGGGGACACCCGUGCCCCUCUCUGCAUGAUACUUGCCCAUCAGCAGAGUUUAGGACUGGAGAGACCGGAGUUUGAAUACCAGCCCCACCACUCAGAGACAGUCUCUCUGGGUCUAUUUGGAAGCAACCUAAGGAAUAUAUGAAAGAAACCACAAAACAUGCUUAGUUCAGGGCUGGGCAAACAGAACAUGACAGGAGAGCUACUUCAUUAAUAAAAGCCAUUUAAAAUGCUCAUUGUUGUAUUACGCAGGCUCUUGUUCUGCAGAAAUUCUCAUAAUAAUCUUUUAGGGUAGGCAUCAUUAUUAUUCCUCUUUUCUGGACAUGGAAGUUGAGGCUAAGGAAGUUAGACAAACUGUUAGUCAUACAGAUAGCUACUGGUGGGGCUGGGACUCAAACCCAGGCAGCCUGAUGCUAUACCCUGCACUCGGCUCUGAGUAAUACUUCUGGUUAUUAGUACACUAAUUAGCACAUCUUCAGGGAUCUCUAUCUUAGACUAUGCUUGGGUGGAGACCGUGCUGUUAUUGAAGUAUAUAAAAGAGGUUGUGGGCUUAUUUUAAUCCUGGAGUAUUUAUAUAAAGACUAGAAGGAGAAUCCAUGAGGAAGGCCCUGUGAACACAAACAAAAUGACUAAAGGGAGGGGUAAAAAGCCCAGAAUGAAAACGAAAUCAUUCUCAAAUGAUUAUUUAAAAUAAUACCAGUCCUUAUCCUACCACCUAAGCACUCAGGUGCCAUAACUUGGCAACAGUCUUCUGAUGGAUAUUAUUAUUUUGUCCAUUCUGCAGAUGAACAAACUGAGGCUGAAGAGAGGUUAAUGGGCUUCAAGAUGCACAGCUGGUGAGUAGCCCCCAAACUGUUCAUAAAUACGCCUUGGUGGUAGUGUUGCGGCUUGUGGCCAGACUGAAGGGUGGUGGUCAGUCUCAUACUAAGAACCCACUUGGGGCAGUGCACCCUGAGAGAUUGAGAAUGUGGCACACAGUCCCUGUGCUAAGACAGUCACAAGGAGUGGGAUGUGGAGGAUAACAGCGUGGGGUCUGAAGAGGGCAGACCUGGACAGUUCUAGCUCUGCUGCUCACUGGCUGAGUGACUGGGCAUGCUUGAUUAGAUUCUGAGCUUUGGUUUCCUACCGGUAUAGUGGAGCUACAAUUGUCUACUUUGAAAGGCUGUCAUGAGCAAUACGGUCAUGCAAAGCUAGGGUGCCUGGCACUCAGCACAGAGAUCUCACUAUAGUUCAGCUGAAGAGCAGAAACCUAUGCAGCUAGCACUACGGGGCAAUGCUUGCUAAGUACUGACCUUGAGGUUCCACUAGAGGCACGCAAAGAAUUACACACAGGUUGGGCUGGGCCCAUUAAGACGGGCUCCUAGAAAGGGUGGGAACUUGGGCUUGUCUUUAAUUUGGAACAAAUGGAGCCCAUGGGAAAUUCACAUGGGUAACUCCAAAGAGCUGAUGGGUAACUAUUUUUAAAGAGUCAACGUUGGCCAUUAAUUCCUUUCCCCAGGGUCAGAUCCUCUGUGCUCCGCCACUUCCUUGAAGCAUCGUACAGAAGAAAUGCCUUUGAUAAAGCUGCCUGGCAGAGAGCAAGCAUGGUAUGUUCUGGGAGCUUGCAGUGGUUUGGCGAGAUCUGAAGGCAGGGCACUGGGGGACAGGCAGCUGAGCAGUGGGUGGGGCAAGAUCCUUUCACUCCCAGCAAAGGCGGCGUGAGAUUCGCUGACUAAAGUCUAGCAACUGAAGUGAGGCAGGGGUCAACUUCCAUUGAAGAGGUGGCCACCAGAGCCAAAUGCCACAGAGAGUUCUUAAGGACUGGAGAUGACCCCUAGCUUUGGUAAUUAUGGACCACAGCGGGGACGCCCUCCCACGGUGAGAAGAACACAGACCUUGAGCUGAGGUCUCUUGACCUGUUUUCCAUGGUGGUGAACUAAACAUGACUACUGUCUUGAAAAUGACCUGUAUCCUACUUCCAGGGGAGGGUCAUGUGAAUACCAGUGUGACUGGGUCCUGGACAGGCUCAGCAGGCACAGAGCAGAAGGCAGGCUGUGGUUGGAGCGGGCCAGCUUGGACAUAGAUCCUUGUAUCUUCUGGCAACCCUGAAAUCUUGGCAGUGAAGGUAACAACGAAGUUAGCAUCCACGAUUUCUUCAUGUAAAGUUUGAUAAUGCAGAGGAUGCCCAAAAUUGGAAGGAUGCUUUUCUCCUACUGCAUUCUAGCUUCCUACUAAAAAAUGGCCCACUCAUAGUGGCUCAGAGCUUCAAACCUCCUCAAAUCCCCAGCUCUGUCCAAAUGAUGGGACUACAUCUGCUGUGUCACAAAUCAAAUCAAGCAUCCAUGACACAGCACAGUGCAACGUCUCUACUAACCAUUUCUUUCCUUUAGUCAGCUUGGUCAAUGUGGUCUGGGCUGUUGGAUGCACAGUCCUGGAAUAGCCUGCUGUUAUUUGUUGCAUUUUCCCACCUACACGAUAAAAAUGCAUUCCUCCAGCUUUGGGUUCAUUCUGAUUUUGUUUUGGUUAUUGGAAGUUGUGUUGGUGCUUUCUAAAAUGAGAUCGACCUUCAAAGGCAACCAGAGAAGGCGAAAUGAAACAGAAAUGGAGGCGUGUACGAAUAAAGCACACAACUUUAUUCACGAAGUUGUGAGUAUGACAGUGAUGCAGAGUAUAUGACAAAGGAGUGCAGUGAGUGCUGCUUGCAACAGGAGCGGGGAGCAGGUCAGGGUCACAGGCACAGCAGCGUGGAGCUGGCAGGGCCACCUUCUCCUCUGCACACAAGCACGUGGCACUCAGCGCGCCAACACACACCUGCUCAGUUUCAUGGGGAACACAACACAGCUUUUCAAAAGGAAUUCUUCUAAAUAUUUGCUUUCAUAUUUCUGAAAGGGGAGGGAGGGCAGGAAGAACUAUACGCCUUCCAACAUUUGAAAAUAUUCCAUAAACCCAACUUAAAAAUGAAAGAGCCCAGAGAGCUUCAAUGCAGAGCUGUCGGCAACUCACAGGAACCACACACAUCAUUGGACAAGUCUGUACAUAAAACCCCAAAAGAACAUCAGUUUUGCGGACAAUGGUUUCCUCUGCUGUAAAGAAAUAUACGCAUAUAUGAUCAGAAAGCAGCUCACAUCUUUCUGAAUGUCAAAGUCUACACGAUUGUCUCUGUCCACCUUUGGUCACUGGGGUCAGGAAGUGACUCAUGGGAACUGGACUCUUUGGAGAAACACUUUUGGGAAGAAUUUUAUUGAAUAACAACUGCCACUCAAUUAUACUAAGCUUCAGAAAUUGUUGGAUUUGUUUAAUUUUGCUGUGUACAUAUUCAUUGCUUAGAAAGUUUCUUUCAGCUUAAACUGACCAUUUCCCCCUUUCUUUUUGAGUUUUCCAUGAUUAAACUUGCCCAAAUAAAAACCUAACAAUCCAUAUGCAAAGCGUAUCUGUCACCACCUCCCACUGCUUCCUGGGCAGCAAACAGAAAAAUAAACAGUGAUUUUUUUUUUCUUUUUUGUAUUUUAAAAAUGCCAAAGUGAAGGAUUCUCUUUCUCCUAUCACGACAUAGUUGAAUAGUUCCCUUAAAGUACAUCAUUGCUAUAAGCUGGUAUCACUGCAAAUCUCAAGUCCCAAAUAAUCUCUUUUUCUGGAUAGAAAGUUCUUCAAAAGGGAGCACAAAAGAGCAAGCUUUGGGGCAUACUGACAAACACUUCGUUGGUUAGAAGAGAGUAAUUUUAAAAAUCAAAUAAAAUCGAGGCUGGCAUAAGGACUACAGAUGAAAUAGCUACCAGAAACACAGAAGUGGUGAUUAAUAACUGAGACUGCUUCAGAGGACACAGGAGGUUGAUGAGACAGUCCAUUUUCCUUCCACCAUCUUCCGUGACAGUCAGGAAAAGGGUUCUGUGAGCACCCAACCUGGCGUGGCCACCUGUCCCUUUGAUACAUGGGAGGAUGCCAAGACCAAGUUAGCUUUAAAUGGUUUUUAGAAAGACUUACCUAGUCAAAAGUGGUUAAUUUGAAUUUUUCAAACUUGCAAAAGCAUACAUAUUUGAUAUAAUCAUCUGAGAAGCAAUUCUAGAAAAAAAGUUUGCUUCGAUGUCUAAAUAAAUCCAGUGAAAGUUUUAGAAACAUUACCAGCUAGACAUCUCCGAGUUAGAGUUGACUGAUAGACCAGAUUGGGAUGGAGAGGGUGAGAACUGAAAACGAACUGCUCCAGCCUCUGCCUCAGAAGAGGAACCUCAGCUUGGAGAUGACAGAAUUGGGUAGUGGAGUAGAUAAUAGAGCCCAUGACAGAUAGAAAACUACCCCCAUUAAAAAAAA